GCGCCUGUAGCUCAGUUGGAUAGAGCAACGGAUUUCUAAUCCGUCGGUCGGGGGUUCGAUUCCCUCCAGGCGCGCCA
rnacentral:tRNA from 1 species